GACGAACGCUGGCGGCGUGCUUAACACAUGCAAGUCGAACGGAAAGGCCCUGCUUUUGUGGGGUGCUCGAGUGGCGAGCGGGUGAGUAACACGUGAGUAACCUGCCCUUGACUUUGGGAUAACUUCAGGAAACUGGGGCUAAUACCGGAUAGGAGCUCCUGCUGCAUGGUGGGGGUUGGAAAGUUUCGGCGGUUGGGGAUGGACUCGCGGCUUAUCAGCUUGUUGGUGGGGUAGUGGCUUACCAAGGCUUUGACGGGUAGCCGGCCUGAGAGGGUGACCGGCCACAUUGGGACUGAGAUACGGCCCAGACUCCUACGGGAGGCAGCAGUGGGGAAUAUUGCACAAUGGGCGGAAGCCUGAUGCAGCAACGCCGCGUGCGGGAUGACGGCCUUCGGGUUGUAAACCGCUUUCGCCUGUGACGAAGCGUGAGGGACGGUAAUGGGUAAAGAAGCACCGGCUAACUACGU
rnacentral:rRNA from 1 species